rnacentral:rRNA from 1 species
UGCCAGACUCCUACGGGAGGCAGCAGUGGGGAAUAUUGCACAAUGGGGGGAACCCUGAUGCAGCGACGCCGCGUGGGUGAAGAAGCGCCUCGGCGCGUAAAGCCCUGUCAGCAGGGAAGAAAAUGACGGUACCUGAAGAAGAAGCCCCGGCUAACUACGUGCCAGCAGCCGCGGUAAUACGUAGGGGGCAAGCGUUGUCCGGAAUUACUGGGUGUAAAGGGAGCGCAGGCGGAUUGACAAGUUGGGAGUGAAAACUACGGGCUCAACCCGUAACCUGCUUUCAAAACUGUCAGUCUUGAGUGGUGUAGAGGUAGGCGGAAUUCCCGGUGUAGCGGUGGAAUGCGUAGAUAUCGGGAGGAACACCAGUGGCGAAGGCGGCCUACUGGGCACUAACUGACGCUGAGGCUCGAAAGCAUGGGUAGCAAACAGGAUUAGAUACCCUAGUAA